GGGCUGUUAGCUCAGCUGGUAGAGCAGCGGACUCUUAAUCCGUUGGUCGCAGGUUCGAAUCCUUCACGGCCCACCA
rnacentral:tRNA from 1 species